CGGGCAUGUGUCAGGUUCCUGCUGGG
rnacentral:piRNA from 1 species